rnacentral:sRNA from 1 species
UAGAUCAUGAGAGAGACUCGACGAGGA